UACGAAGGGGGCUAGCGUUGUUCGGAAUUACUGGGCGUAAAGCGCGCGCAGGCGGUCUUCCAAGUCAGUGGUGAAAGCCUGGAGCUCAACUCCAGAACUGCCAUUGAAACUGUUAGACUUGAGUACGAGAGAGGUGAGUGGAAUUCCCAGUGUAGAGGUGAAAUUCGUAGAUAUUGGGAAGAACACCGAUGGCGAAGGCAGCCCCCUGGGUCAAAACUGACGCUCAUGCACGAAAGCGUGGGGAGCAAACAGG
rnacentral:rRNA from 1 species